AAGUCGUAACAAGGUUUCCGUAGGUGAACCUGCGGAAGGAUCAUUACCGAGUUAGGGUCUUCUAGGCCCGAUCUCCCACCCUUUGUUGUCGAACAAAUUCUUGUUGCUUUGGCGGGACCGCCUCGUCUUCGGACGGGCUGCCGGGUUCUUGCGAUCGGGUAAGCGCCCGCCAGAGACCAACUAAACUCUUCGUUAAAACAUUCGUCUGAGUAAAAUGAUUAAAUCAAUCAAAACUUUCAACAACGGAUCUCUUGGUUCUG
rnacentral:misc_RNA from 1 species